ensembl:lncRNA
UGGUGUUCUGUGCUAAAAUGUGUUAUCUUUCACCGUUCUACCUACCAGUGAUUCACCCCUAUUCUGAGUUGUGGCUAUCAAGAAUGAUAUGGUGUUCAAAGAUUAUCAGAGGGAUUUUCAGGCAGAACUGAUGGGGAAUCCAUUUUGUCGACAGCAGAGUUUUCGUCGACAUUGCUAGUUUUUUCCUUCACAACAAAAUGGAAGAUUCUCAAUUCAAGGUUGGCGCCCCCCCCCCUUGGGUUGUGCCGUGGCAGAGAUCUUUGUCGGCUAUGCUCGGCCUUGUCUCAGGAUGAGGACCUGAGCCCUAGGACCAUGCCUCAGGACUACCUAACAUGAUAACUCCUUGCUGUUCCCAGUCCAUCUGGCC